UACGUAGGGUCCGAGCGUUGUCCGGAAUUACUGGGCGUAAAGAGCUCGUAGGUGGUUUGUCGCGUUGUUCGUGAAAACUCACAGCUCAACUGUGGGCGUGCGGGCGAUACGGGCAGACUUGAGUACUGCAGGGGAGACUGGAAUUCCUGGUGUAGCGGUGGAAUGCGCAGAUAUCAGGAGGAACACCAGUGGCGAAGGCGACUACCUGGCCUGUUCUUGACGCUGAGGCGCGAAAGCUAGGGGAGCAAACGGG
rnacentral:rRNA from 1 species